ACCCGCUGAACUUAAGCAUAUCAGUAAGCGGAGGAAAAGAAAACAACAGUGAUUCCCUCAGUAACUGCGAGUGAAGCGGGAAGAGCCCAACGUUGAAUCGCUUACAAGUGCCGUAUCACCAUCACGGUGGUACGUGCAUGCGAGGUUCUCGCGAGCGAGUUGUGACGUAAGGACGCAUCGCAUCGAGGCCGUGCGUGUCACCAAAGUUUUCCUGGAAAGGAGCGCCAGAGAGGGUGAUAGCCCCGUGUGAGGUGACAUGAGUGAUGUGUGAGUGCGGCCUCGCUUGUGUGUGAAAGCAUACAAGUGUGGCGGUGUGUUCCAUGAGUCGGGUUGUUUGGGAUUGCAGCCCAAAGAGGGUGGUAGACUCCACCCAAGGCUAAAUACUGGCACAAAACCGAUAGCGAACAAGUAGUGUGAACGAAAGUUGAAAAGCAUUCCGAAAGGAAGGUUAAACAGGACGUGAAACCGUUAAAGGGGAAGCGGAUGGAUGGGUCGAAUAUCUGCCAUCCCCCUGGAUCAGCGUAUUGUGUGCUUCCAAUGUGUGUGUGUGUAGGCAUGCAGUACGUGUGGCUAGUGUCACGCAAGUGGUGCUAGUCAAUGCAGUGGUGCGUGGAGGAGCCGAAACAGUCGUUGUGAGUACGGCCAGGACAGGUUGGGCAGCUGCUCUGUGACAUCCACCGUUUAGCUCGGUGUCCCAUCGGGUGUUAAUGUGUGGGUUGUGUUGUGGAGUGGUUGUUACCUGUAAGUGCGCAUACCAUUGGUGUGCGCACACAUUCGUGCGUGAUGCCUAUGGCUCGCUAGAAAGUUCUACUGUUGUGGUAGGGCCGAGCAGUGACCGCAAUUGGGUGACCUGGUGUUAAGCGUGCGACUCGUGCGUGCGCGUACUUAAAAGUUUCGUUUGCGAUGACUGAGAAAUUGCGCCGUUGAGGCGAUGCUGUGUGCUCCCGUACACGUUUGUGCGUGUGCAAAGAGAGUGGAGCGAUAUGCGUGCAAAGUGUGUUACAUCCCCUGGAAGUGGAAUGCUGUGCUAGUGUGUGAGCGCUAGUGUGGUAUGCCAGCGUCUGGUUGUGUUAUGCGAUUUUAUGUCGUGCCCAGAUGUGAGUGGUGGCGAUGCCUCGGUCGUGCGGGGUGGUGCAUGAGUGUGUGUGGCAGUGCAAUGUCCUUGCCUGUCAUGUGUGUUGGUGUGCUGCUGCGACCGCGGGUGAGACCUCCGGCCGGUGGUGUUGUGUGAUGGUGUAAAAAGCCGUUGUGCGACUCUCCGCGUGCAUGUCAAAGUGUGCGUUCAUCGGCUUCUAGCUGUGGGAAUGGCCCGUAAAAGGGCUGGCCUGCGAUUUGUCACCCUUCCAGAGAUCAUUGAGAGCCAUGAGUAAUAUCUGACUUGUGUGUAUGCGUCUCGUGCGUGUAUACGUGGCAUCACGCUUGCGUGUUUAAAUUAGCCAGGAUGUAAAUGUGCGUAAGACACACAGCUAAUUUUCGGCGAGACACCAAUCCAUCCGACCCGUCUUGAAACACGGACCAAGGAGCCUAACAUGUGCGCGAGUCAAAGGGUGAUUGAAACCCAGAGCAGUGCAACAUAGCGCUCGCACCGUUGUCAACUACACUGGCAACGUGUCGCGUGUGUGUGAUACAAACAGCAGCGAUGAGGCGUAAUGAAAGUGACCACCAGUAGUGGUGAUGAGAUGGGAUCUGGCCGAGGCAGUGUGUGUGUAUGCACACACGCCCGGUUGGCGCACCAUCAGCCGGUUCGCACGUAGGUGUGGGCUGAGCGAGAGCGUACAUGAUAGAACCCGAAAGAUGGUGAACUAUUCCUGGGUAGGGCGAAGCCGGAGGAAACUCCGGUGGAGGCUCGCAGCGAUUCUGACGUGCAAAUCGAUCGUCAAACCUGGGUAUAGGGGCGAAAGACUAAUCGAACCAUCUAGUAGCUGGUUCCUUCCGAAAUAUCCCUCAGGAUCGCUGAGACCUGUGCAAAAACAUUCAAGUGGUGCAUGUGAGGAGACGCCAUGUGCGUCUCCAAGAGCGUGUGUGAGAAUGUGGUAGUUUCAUCGGGUAGAGCUAAUGAUUAGAGUGAUUUGGGAGCUACUGCUCCUGGAACUAUUCUCAAACUGCCAACCGGUGAUAACUGCUGGUGAUUUCUUGUAUGUUCUCUGCUAGUGAUCACUGCUGUGUAAAAAGCAGCAGAGGUGGUACGGUCGGUGUGCAUGGUGCAAGCCAUGUGUGCCGGUUGGCUGGCAGAGAGUGGCUUCGACUGGCUAGCGAGACAGCAGCAUUGCUGUGCCAUUCAUGCGAUUGUCAGUGUGCCGUGUACGUGUGUGCCUGUCUGUGGUGGUGUUGGGGAGGGCAACCUUUCUGGUGCCAUCAUGGGCAGGUGUGCGCCGCACGGUGUGUUGGUUUUCUGCCUGGGUGGUGUGGCUUUGUUGCCAGUCGGCGGUGCGCAAUGUGCGCGUGCCAUGUGUACGCGUGUGUGGUCAGGAGGUGCGAUGAAAGCUUGCGAGGGUGUGUGUGCAAACACGGUCCUCACAGCUAGGACCUCGUGUCGCCGCGCUCGCUGGUAGCGUACGGAGCUGCGCGCAUUGAUGGAUGCGAGCAUGAAAUGAAUCACUGGCCUUGUCGGCGCGACAGUGGUAAUACACUGUAUGUAGUGCGUCGACACUGCGUUAGCACGCAGAACGUGAAUACCAGGGUCUCAAGUGGGCCGUUUCUGGUAAGCAGAACUGGCGAUGCGGGAUGAA
rnacentral:rRNA from 1 species